UCCGUAGGUGAACCUGCGGAGGGAUCAUUACCGAGUUUACAACUCCCAAACCCCUGUGAACAUACACUUGUUGCCUCGGCGGAUCAGCCCGCUCCCGGUAAAACGGGACGGCCCGCCAGAGGACCCCUAAACUCUGUUUCUAUAUGUAACUUCUGAGUAAAACCAUAAAUAAAUCAAAACUUUCAACAACGGAUCUCUUGGUUCUGGCAUCGAUGAAGAACGCAGCAAAAUGCGAUAAGUAAUGUGAAUUGCAGAAUUCAGUGAAUCAUCGAAUCUUUGAACGCACAUUGCGCCCGCCAGUAUUCUGGCGGGCAUGCCUGUUCGAGCGUCAUUUCAACCCUCAAGCACAGCUUGGUGUUGGGACUCGCGUUAAUUCGCGUUCCCCAAAUUGAUUGGCGGUCACGUCGAGCUUCCAUAGCGUAGUAGUAAAACCCUCGUUACUGGUAAUCGUCGCGGCCACGCCGUUAAACCCCAACUUCUGAAUGUUGACCUCGGAUCAGGUAGGAAUACCCGCUGAACUUAAGCAUAUCAAUAAGCGGAGGA
rnacentral:rRNA from 1 species